GAAGUGCGAUAAGCAAUGCGAAUUGCAGAACCGUGAGUCAUCAGAUUUUUGAACGCAACUGGCGCUGGCUGGGUCUCCAGCCAGCAUGCUUGUUUCAGUGUCUUGUUUUCUCCUCACCCAAAACUUAAUGCGAGAGAUACCCUUCUCUUGCCAAGCAUGAAAGCACUCUGCGCUCUGCGAGCGGCUUCUGACUAGCUCAGUUGUCGCACUCAAUGCAGCCGUCACAUUUCUUUUAAUGUGAACUCAUUGAGAGCAGAGGCUGUCAGCUCGCGCUGUCAGUGCUUAGUCACUUAAACUUUCUUUGCAUCUGAAAUCAAGCAGGAUCACCCGCUGAACUUAA
rnacentral:misc_RNA from 1 species